rnacentral:rRNA from 1 species
GACGAACGCUGGCGGCGUGCUUAACACAUGCAAGUCGAACGGAAAGGCCCUGCUCUUGUGGGGUGCUCGAGUGGCGAACGGGUGAGUAACACGUGAGUAACCUGCCCUUGACUUAGGGAUAACUUCAGGAAACUGGGGCUAAUACCGGAUAGAAGCUCCUGCUGCACGGUGGGGGUUGGAAAGUUUCGGCGGUUGGGGAUGGACUCGCGGCUUAUCAGCUUGUUGGUGGGGUAGUGGCUUACCAAGGCUUUGACGGGUAGCCGGCCUGAGAGGGUGACCGGCCACAUUGGGACUGAGAUACGGCCCAGUCUCCUACGUGAGGCAGCAGUGGAGAAUAUUGCACAAUGGGCGAAAGCCUGAUGCAGCAACGCCGCGUGCGUGAUGACGGCCUUCGGGUUGUAAACCGCUUUCGCCUGUGACGAAGCGUGAGUGACGGUACUGGGUAAAGAAGCACCGGCUAACUACGUG